GCGUGCUUACCAUGCAGUCGAACGAUGAACCACCUUCGGGUGGGGAUUAGUGGCGAACGGGUGAGUAACACGUGGGCAAUCUGCCCUGCACUCUGGGACAAGCCCUGGAAACGGGGUCUAAUACCGGAUACUGACCUGCCAAGGCAUCUUGGCGGGUCGAAAGCUCCGGCGGUGCAGGAUGAGCCCGCGGCCUAUCAGCUUGUUGGUGAGGUAAUGGCUCACCAAGGCGACGACGGGUAGCCGGCCUGAGAGGGCGACCGGCCACACUGGGACUGAGACACGGCCCAGACUCCUACGGGAGGCAGCAGUGGGGAAUAUUGCACAAUGGGCGAAAGCCUGAUGCAGCGACGCCGCGUGAGGGAUGACGGCCUUCGGGUUGUAAACCUCUUUCAGCAGGGAAGAAGCGAAAGUGACGGUACCUGCAGAAGAAGCGCCGGCUAACUACGUGCCAGCAGCCGCGGUAAUACGUAGGGCGCAAGCGUUGUCCGGAAUUAUUGGGCGUAAAGAGCUCGUAGGCGGCUUGUCGCGUCGGUUGUGAAAGCCCGGGGCUUAACCCCGGGUCUGCAGUCGAUACGGGCAGGCUAGAGUUCGGUAGGGGAGAUCGGAAUUCCUGGUGUAGCGGUGAAAUGCGCAGAUAUCAGGAGGAACACCGGUGGCGAAGGCGGAUCUCUGGGCCGAUACUGACGCUGAGGAGCGAAAGCGUGGGGAGCGAACAGGAUUAGAUACCCUGGUAGUCCACGCCGUAAACGGUGGGCACUAGGUGUGGGCAACAUUCCACGUUGUCCGUGCCGCAGCUAACGCAUUAAGUGCCCCGCCUGGGGAGUACGGCCGCAAGGCUAAACUCAAAGGAAUUGACGGGGGCCCGCACAAGCGGCGGAGCAUGUGGCUUAAUCGACGCAACGCGAAGAACCUUACCAAGGCUUGACAUACACGGAAACGUUCAG
rnacentral:rRNA from 1 species